rnacentral:sRNA from 1 species
CGUUUGCCGUUCGCGUGAGGGAUAGAAGAGAAAAGCCCACAGCCUGACGAAGGAAGUGCGAGGACUUGAAACGCAUAGCCCGACCCGCC